GGCGAAUGGCGGCGAUGGCAGGAAAAAUUGAACCCUGUCUGGGCCUCCUCGUGGUCGACUCAACCUGAAGAUGCCGACACAGGGCUCUGUGUGAGGCCAGGAGUCGUCGUGCCAGUCGACCACGUGCAGGGACAUGGAUAAGGUGGACCCUUUCCCAGGCCAAAGUUGCUACAAGCAUCACUCCCCAAAGAGGAUAUUUGGGGAGGUGAAGGACUUCAGCGGGGUGAAGCGUCUCAAGGAGGAGAAGGACCUUGCCACGGAGAAACGCCUCGUGGUAGAGGAGCACCUCUUUGAAAUGCAGCGCCUUGCCAGGGUGGAGUGCCGCACAGAGGAGAAGUGCCUCAGAGACGAUCUCCACCAGCAGCGCCUCAUUAAAGUGAAGUGCUUCACGGAUGAGAAGCGUCUUGUUCUCCCCGUGGCCGCAUGGAUUUUUCUCUGGGUCCUUCGGUUUUUCCCUCCACAUUCAGAAACAUGUGUUUAAGAGUAUUUGGCUGCUAUAAAUUUCUGCGUAACAAGCCAAUUCAUGGGUAUUUCAUUUGUGGCCAGGUCGCGUCUGGAAAAGAGCUGCAUAGCAGUGGGCCUUACCUGCUAAAAUACAAAUAGAUUCGUUUUGUUAGUUUAUUUUGUGCCACAGAGGGG